UACGGAGGAUUCAAGCGUUAUCCGGAUUUAUUGGGUUUAAAGGGUGCGUAGGCGGUCGGAUAAGUUAGAGGUGAAAUCCCGGGGCUCAACUUCGGAAUUGCCUCUGAUACUGUUCGGCUAGAGAGUAGUUGCGGUAGGCGGAAUGUAUGGUGUAGCGGUGAAAUGCUUAGAGAUCAUACAGAACACCGAUUGCGAAGGCAGCUUGCCAAGCUACUUCUGACGUUGAGGCACGAAAGCGUGGGGAGCAAACAGG
rnacentral:rRNA from 1 species